rnacentral:rRNA from 1 species
UGGGGAAUAUUGGACAAUGGGCGCAAGCCUGAUCCAGCCAUGCCGCGUGUGUGAUGAAGGCCUUAGGGUUGUAAAGCACUUUCGCCGAUGAAGAUAAUGACUGUAGUCGGAGAAGAAGCCCCGGCUAACUUCGUGCCAGCAGCCGCGGUAAUACGAAGGGGGCAAGCGUUGUUCGGAUUUACUGGGCGUAAAGCGUACGUAGGCGGAUGAUUAAGUCAGGGGUGAAAUCCCGGGGCUCAACCUCGGAACUGCCUUUGAUACUGGUCGUCUUGAGUCCGGGAGAGGUGAGUGGAACUCCUAGUGUAGAGGUGAAAUUCGUAGAUAUUAGGAAGAACACCAGUGGCGAAGGCGGCUCACUGGCCCGGAACUGACGCUGAGGUACGAAAGCGUGGGGAGCAAACAG